rnacentral:rRNA from 1 species
CGAAGGUGAACCUGCGGAAGGAUCAUUACCGAGUGAGGGCCCUCUGGGUCCAACCUCCCACCCGUGUCUAUCGUACCUUGUUGCUUCGGCGGGCCCGCCGUUUCGACGGCCGCCGGGGAGGCCUUGCGCCCCCGGGCCCGCGCCCGCCGAAGACCCCAACAUGAACGCUGUUCUGAAAGUAUGCAGUCUGAGUUGAUUAUCGUAAUCAGUUAAAACUUUCAACAACGGAUCUCUUGGUUCCGGCAUCGAUGAAGAACGCAGCGAAAUGCGAUAAGUAAUGUGAAUUGCAGAAUUCAGUGAAUCAUCGAGUCUUUGAACGCACAUUGCGCCCCCUGGUAUUCCGGGGGGCAUGCCUGUCCGAGCGUCAUUGCUGCCCUCAAGCACGGCUUGUGUGUUGGGCCCCCGUCCCCCUCUCCCGGGGGACGGGCCCGAAAGGCAGCGGCGGCACCGCGUCCGGUCCUCGAGCGUAUGGGGCUUUGUCACCUGCUCUGUAGGCCCGGCCGGCGCCAGCCGACACCCAACUUUAUUUUUCUAAGGUUGACCUCGGAUCAGGUAGGGAUACCCGCUGAACUUAAGCAUAUCAAUAAGCUAGGUGAAC